UACGUAGGGUGCGAGCGUUGUCCGGAAUUACUGGGCGUAAAGAGCUCGUAGGUGGUUUGUCGCGUUGUCCGUGAAAACUCACAACUCAAUUGUGGGCGUGCGGGCGAUACGGGCAGACUGGAGUACUGCAGGGGAGACUGGAAUUCCUGGUGUAGCGGUGGAAUGCGCAGAUAUCUGGAGGAACACCGGUGGCGAAGGCGGCAUCCUGGACCGGCAUUGACGCUGAGGAGCGAAAGCCAGGGGAGCAAACGGG
rnacentral:rRNA from 1 species